rnacentral:misc_RNA from 1 species
AAGUCGUAACAAGGUAACCGUAGGUGAACCUGCGGUUGGAUCAUUACCAAUCUUGACUCGAAAGAGUCUUCAACCCAUGUGCACUUGUUUUUGUUUUUGGGUGUCCAACUAUUGGCCCAACCUACUUAUAACCCUAUUACUUUAUUCUUAUAUUUUAUUUAUAAUAAAAAACAA